rnacentral:rRNA from 1 species
GUGGGGAAUCUUGCGCAAUGGGCGAAAGCCUGACGCAGCCAUGCCGCGUGAAUGAUGAAGGUCUUAGGAUUGUAAAAUUCUUUCACCGGGGACGAUAAUGACGGUACCCGGAGAAGAAGCUCCGGCUAACUUCGUGCCAGCAGCCGCGGUAAUACGAAGGGGGCUAGCGUUGCUCGGAAUUACUGGGCGUAAAGGGCGCGUAGGCGGACAGCUUAGUCAGAGGUGAAAGCCCAGGGCUCAACCUUGGAAUUGCCUUUGAUACUGGCUGUCUUGAGUUUGGGAGAGGUGAGUGGAACUCCGAGUGUAGAGGUGAAAUUCGUAGAUAUUCGGAAGAACACCAGUGGCGAAGGCGACUCACUGGCCCAAUACUGACGCUGAGGCGCGAAAGCGUGGGGAGCAAAAGGGAUUAGAAACCCUGGUAGUCC